UACAACUUUCAACAAUGGAUCUCUUGGCUCUGGCAUCGAUGAAGAACGCAGCGAAAUGCGAUAAGUAGUGUGAAUUGCAGAAUUCAGUGAAUCAUCGAAUCUUUGAACGCACAUUGCGCCCCUUGGUAUUCCAUGGGGCAUGCCUGUUCGAGCGUCAUCU
rnacentral:rRNA from 3 species